rnacentral:rRNA from 1 species
GGCUCAGGAUGAACGCUGGCGGCGUGCUUAACACAUGCAAGUCGAACGAUGAAGCUGGGGCUUGCUCUGGUGGAUUAGUGGCGAACGGGUGAGUAACACGUGAGCAACCUGCCCUGGACUCUGGGAUAAGCGCUGGAAACGGCGUCUAAUACUGGAUACGAGACGUGGCCGCAUGGUCAACGUUUGGAAAGAUUUUUCGGUCUGGGAUGGGCUCGCGGCCUAUCAGCUUGUUGGUGAGGUAAUGGCUCACCAAGGCGUCGACGGGUAGCCGGCCUGAGAGGGUGACCGGCCACACUGGGACUGAGACACGGCCCAGACUCCUACGGGAGGCAGCAGUGGGGAAUAUUGCACAAUGGGCGGAAGCCUGAUGCAGCAACGCCGCGUGAGGGAUGACGGCCUUCGGGUUGUAAACCUCUUUUAGCAGGGAAGAAGCGUGAGUGACGGUACCUGCAGAAAAAGCGCCGGCUAACUACGUGCCAGCAGCCGCGGUAAUACGUAGGGCGCAAGCGUUAUCCGGAAUUAUUGGGCGUAAAGAGCUCGUAGGCGGUUUGUCGCGUCUGCUGUGAAAUCCCGAGGCUCAACCUCGGGCCUGCAGUGGGUACGGGCAGACUAGAGUGCGGUAGGGGAGAUUGGAAUUCCUGGUGUAGCGGUGGAAUGCGCAGAUAUCAGGAGGAACACCGAUGGCGAAGGCAGAUCUCUGGGCCGUAACUGACGCUGAGGAGCGAAAGGGUGGGGAGCAAACAGGCUUAGAUACCCUGGUAGUCCACCCCGUAAACGUUGGGAACUAGUUGUGGGGUCCUUUCCACGGAUUCCGUGACGCAGCUAACGCAUUAAGUUCCCCGCCUGGGGAGUACGGCCGCAAGGCUAAAACUCAAAGGAAUUGAC